rnacentral:rRNA from 1 species
UGAGGGAUAUUGGUCAAUGGGCGCAAGCCUGAACCAGCGACGCCGCGUGGGUGAAGAAGGUCUUCGGAUCGUAAAGCCCUUUUCCCACUGAAGAGGAAGGACGGUAGGUGGGGAAGAAGUCUCGGCUAACUACGUGCCAGCAGCCGCGGUAAAACGUAGGAGACAAGCGUUAUCCGGAGUUACUGGGCGUAAAGGGCGUGCAGGUGGCGUCUUAAGUCUGUUGUGAAAGCGCCUGGCUUAACCGGGCGAGGCCAAUGGAGACUGAGAGGCUGGAGGACGGCGGAGNGGUGUGGAAUUCCGGGUGUAGUGGUGAAAUGCGUAGAGAUCCGGAGGAACACCAGAGGCGAAGGCGGCACUCUAAGCCGUACCUGACACUGAGACGCGACAGCACGGGGAGCAAACG